rnacentral:rRNA from 1 species
CGGACCCGCCGAGGAAACGAAGGUACUCAAAAGACAUGGGUAAGAGAUAGCAGGCAAAGCCUACAAACUCUAGGUAAUGAUCCUUCCGUAGGGGAACCUGCGGAAGGAUCAUUACCUAGAGUUUGUAGGCUUUGCCUGCUAUCUCUUACCCAUGUCUUUUGAGUACCUUCGUUUCCUCGGCGGGUCCGCCCGCCGAUCGGACAACCAUCAACCAUUUGCAGUUGCAAUCAGCGUCUGAAAAAACUUUAAUAGUUACAACUUUCAACAACGGAUCUCUUGGUUCUGGCAUCGAUGAAGAACGCAGCGAAAUGCGAUAAGUAGUGUGAAUUGCAGAAUUCAGUGAAUCAUCGAAUCUUUGAACGCACAUUGCGCCCCUUGGUAUUCCAUGGGGCAUGCCUGUUCGAGCGUCAUUUGUACCUUCAAGCUCUGCUUGGUGUUGGGCGUUUGUCUCGCCUCUGCGCGUAGACUCGCCUCAAAACAAUUGGCAGCCGGCGUAUUGAUUUCGGAGCGCAGUACAUCUCGCGCUUUGCACUCAUAACGACGACGUCCAAAAGUACAUUUUUACACUCUUGACCUCGGAUCAGGUAGGGAUACCCGCUGAACUUAAGCAUAUCAAUAAGGCGGAGGAA